AGAACUUCAAAUACAACGACGUAAACAAGCAAUAGAGGAUAUCAAGCGGAGAAGGGGAGAAGCUCAGAAGCUUUUAAAGGAGGCACUUGGUACCCUCGAGGGACAGUAGCAUGCUCUUCGCGCACUCAGCUGGCACAGCAGACUUUGACAAAUUUCUCGACAGUUGAGAGUGUUCACGGUGCUUUGAAAGCCUACGUUUUUCUUGUACAUCAAAAGUAGCAAAUGUUAUAUUAGCAUACAAUUCUUGUGUAGCUAUCUGGUCAUAUUAGGUUUGAGGACAUGUUGAUUUUGGCAUAGAUUGCUGACACUCCAUAACCUGAUCAAACAUUGUUGGAGAGUGGAGACUGAUUUCUCCAAGAAAAAAGAUGUUUUUGUUAGAGACUGGAGAAAGCAACAAAUUGUAUGUUCCUUCCUCCUAUUCCCUGUCUGGGCUAGAAAUACAUGAGCAGUCAAAAAGUAAUACAUGUAUUUGAACAAAUUGCUCAAGUUGUAACCAAUGUUGUAAGCUACUGAGUUUCUUUAUUUUACCAAUUUCGUAA